AGCUCCAGUAGCGUAUAUUAAAGUUGUUGCAGUUAAAAAGCUCGUAGUCGAACCUCGGGCCUGGGACACGGACCUGGCUGUUGCCUGCGAUCUAUGUCUUGGGCCUUCUGCCGGACGAACGCGUCUUCCCUUAAAUGGGUGGGCGUGCUAGUUCGGACAUUUACUGUGAAAAAAUUAGAGUGUUCAAAGCAGGCCUACGCCGGAAUACACUAGCAUGGAAUAAUAGAAUAGGACUUGGGUUCUGUUCCGUUGGUUGGUAGAACCGAAGUAAUGAUUAAUAGGGAUAGUUGGGGGCAUUCGUAUUUCAUUGUCAGAGGUGAAAUUCUUGGAUUUUUGAAAGACGAACAACUGCGAAAGCAUCUGCCAAGGAUGUUUUCA
rnacentral:rRNA from 1 species